rnacentral:lncRNA from 1 species
AAAGCUAAAAUUAGUUAUUACGACAUCCACUGAACCCACUCCAACUCAACCUCUUAUUAAACAUUCCACAAUGCGGAGACUGCCGCUCCGCUAUGGGAGUUUGUUCUCCACUCUCAAAACUGCAAGGAAGAAGUAGAAAAUUUGAAAGAAAUACACUCUACACCGCCGCCUCUAUAUCUCAGCGCCAAGCUCCAACAUCAAGGUAUGGUUCGACGCAUCGCUUCCAGGGCCGCUGAACUGGAUGGGACCUGCCAUGACAAGAAUGACAAGUAAGUUUAUUUCUCUCGUAGAUGUCAGUCGUUGCUGGCAAUUUUCCUACUACAUACCAGGGCUGAUGUAUCGGUUCUUGCUGGCCCAUUCAUCUCGCAGCGAGGCAAACUUCUUAAAUGGCGCAGCUGAAAAAUGGCAUUGCAAGAGAUCAGGUUUCAUAGGAGUACAUAAACCUCUUAGCUGUUAGUAACAGAUUUGAAAGGUCUUCAUACCAUCAAGUUCCACCAUAGCCUUCUUGAUCACUGGCUUGUUCUUGCCUGGUUGCCAAGAAUGAUAAAGUUAGAAUUUGGCACUAAUUGUCCAAAAUAUGAUUAUUAAUUGUCCAAAAUAUGAUUAUUAAUGUUCCAAAACAUGAUUAAAAUGGAUUUUAUUAUCAUAUUUACUAACAGUCAAAAGAACUCGACUGGAACAUAAUUGGGUCAAAAGAACGAGUACAUCUUUGGGUAACCUUCAGGUCGAAAGUAGAAAAAAUGCCUUGAAAAUGAGGUAUUGUAGAAAAUUACCAUGCCUUCUCUCAACAUCCAUCAACGCAGUCAGUGCAGUUCCUCCAACAGUCCAUUCUUCCAC